CCUACGGGAGGCAGCAGUGGGGAAUAUUGCACAAUGGGCGCAAGCCUGAUGCAGCCAUGCCGCGUGUGUGAAGAAGGCCUUCGGGUUGUAAAGCACUUUCAGCGGGGAGGAAGGCGUUAAGGUUAAUAACCUUGGCGAUUGACGUUACCCGAAGAAGAAGCACCGGCUAACUCCGUGCCAGCAGCCGCGGUAAUACGGAGGGUGCAAGCGUUAAUCGGAAUUACUGGGCGUAAAGCGCACGCAGGCGGUCUGUCAAGUCGGAUGUGAAAUCCCCGGGCUCAACCUGGGAACUGCAUUCGAAACUGGCAGGCUAGAGUCUUGUAGAGGGGGGUAGAAUUCCAGGUGUAGCGGUGAAAUGCGUAGAGAUCUGGAGGAAUACCGGUGGCGAAGGCGGCCCCCUGGACAAAGACUGACGCUCAGGUGCGAAAGCGUGGGGAGCAAACAGGAUUAGAUACCCUAGUAGUC
rnacentral:rRNA from 1 species